AUAGUUCCUUCUACAUAUCAUUCGGUAGCUCUCCGUUAGAUGCAUUGGGUGUGCGAAUAGCGCUCUGUUCCCACGAACAGAGGACGAGAUUUCCACCGUAUGAAAAGCUGUUCGGUUGUAGGUUUCCAGGCCCUCGAUGGCGGCCAUGUUUUUGGGUCCGUCAAUGGCCAGCGGGACUUCGACGUUGAAUGUAUGGAACGAAGGCCGGGUACAGAAGCAUGCGAAUCCCCGCUACCUGUCUGGUUGUCCCAUC